GCGCAACGAGUUUAGCUGUCGCAUUGGG
rnacentral:sRNA from 1 species